rnacentral:pre_miRNA from 1 species
UAUAAGGGAUUUUGAGUUUUUACUUGUAAUGUUUGACCACUCGUCUUAUUCAAAUUUUUUUGAAAUUAUUAUUUAUUUUAUUUGUGACUUACUUUAUUAUCCACAGUAUUUUAAGCACAACUUUUCAUUUUUUAUAUUUGCAAAAAAAAUUGAAUAAGAUGAGCGGUCAAACGUUGCAAACAAAAACUUAAAAUCCCUUAUA